rnacentral:rRNA from 1 species
UACGAGGGGGGCAAGCGUUGUCCGGAUUUAUUGGGCGUAAAGAGCGUGUAGGCGGCCAUACAGGUCAGCUGUGAAAACUCGAGGCUCAACCUCGAGACGUCGGUUGAAACCGUAUGGCUAGAGUCCGGAAGAGGAGAGUGGAAUUCCCGGUGUAGCGGUGAAAUGCGCAGAUAUCGGGAAGAACACCUAUGGCGAAGGCAGCUCUCUGGGACGGUACUGACGCUGAGACGCGAAAGCGUGGGGAGCGAACAGG